CCUACGGGAGGCUGCAGUAGGGAAUCUUUCACAAUGGGCGAAAGCCUGAUGGAGCAACGCCGCGUGCAGGAUGAAGGCCUUCGGGUUGUAAACUGCUUUUAUAAGCGAGAAAUAUGAUGGUAACUUAUGAAUAAGGAUCGGCUAACUACGUGCCAGCAGCCGCGGUCAUACGUAGGAUCCGAGCAUUAUCCGGAGUGACUGGGUGUAAAGAGUUGCGUAGGUGGGAUAAUAAGUAGCUAGUGAAAUCUGGUGGCUCAACCAUUCAGACUAUUAGCUAAACUGUUAAGCUCGAGACCGUUAGGGGUAACUGGAAUUUCUAGUGUAGGAGUGAAAUCCGUAGAUAUUAGGAGGAACACCAAUAGCGUAGGCAGGUUGCUGGGACGGUUCUGACACUAAGGCACGAAGGCGUAGGGAGCAAACGGGAUUAGAUACCCUAGUAGUC
rnacentral:rRNA from 1 species